GGUCCCUUCGUCUAACGGUUAGGACGCCAGGUUCUCAUCCUGGUAACAGGAGUUCGAUUCUCCUAGGGACUA
rnacentral:tRNA from 1 species